AUUGAACGCUGGCGGCAGGCCUAACACAUGCAAGUCGAAUGGUAACAGCAAACAGCUUGCUGUUUCGCUGACGAGUGGCGGACGGGUGAGUAAUGUCUGGGAAACUGCCCGAUGGAGGGGGAUAACUACUGGAAACGGGAGCUAAUACCGCAUAACUUCGGAAGACCAAAGAGGGGGACCUUCGUUCCUCUUGCCGUCAGAUGUGCCCAGAUGGAAUUAGCUAGUAGGUGGGGUAACGGCUCACCUAGGCGACGAUCCCUAGCUGGUCUGAGAGGAUGACUCGCCACCCUGGAAGUGAGACACGGUAGAGACUCCUACGGGAGGAAGCAGUGGGGAAUAUUGCACAAUGGGGGAGAGCGUGAUGCAGGCAUGCGGCGUGUAUGAAGAAGGACUUCGGGUUGUAAAGUACUUUAAGCGGGGAGGUAGGGAGUAAAGUUAAUACCUUUGGUGAUUGACGUUACCCGCAGAAGAAGCACCGGCUAACUCCGUG
rnacentral:rRNA from 1 species